UACAGAGGUGGCAAGCGUUGUUCGGAAUUACUGGGCGUAAAGGGCGCGUAGGUGGCCUUCUUAGUCAGACGUGAAAUCCCCGGGCUUAACUCGGGAACUGCGUCUGAUACUGGAAGGCUGGAGUUCGGGAGAGGAAUGUGGAAUUCCAGGUGUAGCGGUGAAAUGCGUAGAUAUCUGGAGGAACACCGGUGGCGAAGGCGGCAUUCUGGACCGAAACUGACGCUGAGGCGCGAAAGCGUGGGGAGCGAACAGG
rnacentral:rRNA from 1 species